GGACUACUGGGAACUAUCAAUGUCGGAGAGACUAACAACCUGAACCAAAGCCACAACAAGUUCUGGAUCCAGCCCUGAAUUCUGCCCCUGAGACCCAUCUUUGCUUUGUAUGAGUGACAGAAAAAUUAUGUAUUUCUAGGUUUUAUUACCAGAGAAAGGUACUUUAUGUUGUGGAUAUUCAACCUAUUGGCAUGACUUGAUGAUAUUGAUGAAGUGUGAAGGUUAUGUUCCUGGGUACUAAUUCUUCUAGCAAGCCAGUGGUGAGGAAUAUCCCCUGAUACUGCUUACUUCUCUCUGGACCUUUUGUUGGUACCUCUAAAAUCAGGAGAAUAUUCCUAAGAAUGUCAAUAGGAGCAAGACCAUGUCCCACUGUGGCAAAGCCAAGACUUUGCUCAGGAGCAUGCUACACCAAGAAAUUGUUACUGAAGCAAUGUGCUUUACAGUUUUGUGUAGGAAAAUCCAAGGACUGAGUUAAUGUCGGGAUUCCUCUAUUCUAUACGGUAGUGCAUUGCAGGUAGAAGUCAAAAUAAAAUGCCAUGACUGAUACCAGACAUUUAUCAUAUGUAGCAACAUCUCUUCUGGAAUUUGUUUCCUUCUUCAGCAGCUAUUCACCUGCAUCUGAACCAAAAUCCUCCUCCUCCUUGCAAUUCUAUGUCAUGUGAGAGAAGCCUGUAAAAACAAGGUAUUGUACACAAACAUUGUCAGAUAAUAAAUCCAUUAAAAUAAUCUGAUACAUAUUUUUCAGUUAAAACACAAAAAUGAAAUCAACACCAAAUUGCUAUGUGAUGUUAUACAGCUCCUUACACUUCGAAUUUUUUUGUGCUAAUUCUCCAAAUGGAUUAGCUUCAUAUUGCUCAUUACAAGCCAUAUGCAGUCACCCACAUAAAACAUCCUACUUUUUUUGUAAAAGCCAGUACUGGUAGAAUGCGCUCAUCACCAGAAU